CCCUACGGGUGGCAGCAGUGGGGAAUAUUGCACAAUGGGCGAAAGCCUGAUGCAGCAACGCCGCGUGGAGGAUGAAGGCCUUCGGGUUGUAAACUCUUGUCUUCUGGGACGAUAAUGACGGUACCAGAGGAGGAAGCCACGGCUAACUACGUGCCAGCAGCCGCGGUAAUACGUAGGUGGCGAGCGUUGUCCGGAUUUACUGGGCGUAAAGGAUGCGUAGGCGGAUAUUUAAGUGAGAUGUGAAAUACCCGGGCUUAACUUGGGUGCUGCAUUUCAAACUGGAUAUCUAGAGUGCGGGAGAGGAAAGUGGAAUUCCUAGUGUAGCGGUGAAAUGCGUAGAGAUUAGGAAGAACACCAGUGGCGAAGGCGACUUUCUGGACCGUAACUGACGCUGAGGCAUGAAAGCGUGGGGAGCAAACAGGAUUAGAUACCCCAGUAGUCGAG
rnacentral:rRNA from 1 species